UACAGAGGUCUCGAGCGUUGUUCGGAUUCAUUGGGCGUAAAGGGCGCGUAGGCGGCGGAGUAAGUCUGGUGUGAAAUCUCGGAGCUCAACUCCGAAAUUGCACUGGAUACUGCUCUGCUAGAGGGCUGGAGAGGAGAUCGGAAUUCACGGUGUAGCAGUGAAAUGCGUAGAUAUCGUGAGGAAGACCAGUGGCGAAGGCGGAUCUCUGGACAGCUCCUGACGCUGAGGCGCGAAGGCUAGGGGAGCAAACGGG
rnacentral:rRNA from 1 species